GAGAAUUACUCGCAAGAAUGCUAUUUAGGACAUCAAAUAUCCUUCAUCUAAGAUGAGUCUGCAGGCUAUAUGCAAAGGGAAAGGAGAACUAGGACUGUCUGGGACAAGUGACACGCCAAGGGAUCUGGUUUUCUGUUAUGCCCUGGACAUCUGGACUGCAGUGAGGGAAGCAGAACAGGAGAUACAACAGAGGGUCCACCAAAGUGGAGAGUCCAGUCUGAGAUCACCCAGGAGCGCUGUGGCCCCAGAGAGCUACAGCAUCAUAGUGGGUCCUGGGACGCUGGUAGCAUAGGGCAUGAGUGCUCUGGGUUCAAGGUGCCACUGUUCUGAGCUCCUGAUUGUGCUAUUCAGGCGACAGGAAUGGCUUCCUAAAGGUCAAC
rnacentral:lncRNA from 1 species